GAUGAACGCUGGCGGCGUGCCUAAUACAUGCAAGUCGAGCGAACGGACGAGAAGCUUGCUUCUCUGAUGUUAGCGGCGGACGGGUGAGUAACACGUGGAUAACCUACCUAUAAGACUGGGAUAACUUCGGGAAACCGGAGCUAAUACCGGAUAAUAUUUUGAACCGCAUGGUUCAAAAGUAAAAGACGGUCUUGCUGUCACUUAUAGAUGGAUCCGCGCUGCAUUAGCUAGUUGGUAAGGUAACGGCUUACCAAGGCAACGAUGCAUAGCCGACCUGAGAGGGUGAUCGGCCACACUGGAACUGAGACACGGUCCAGACUCCUAAGGGAGGCAGCAGUAGGGAAUCUUCCGCAAUGGGCGAAAGCCUGACGGAGCAACGCCGCGUGAGUGAUGAAGGUCUUCGGAUCGUAAAACUCUGUUAUUAGGGAAGAACAUAUGUGUAAGUAACUGUGCACAUCUUGACGGUACCUAAUCAGAAAGCCACGGCUAACUACGUG
rnacentral:rRNA from 1 species